CCCUUAGAUGUUCUGGGCCGCACGCGUGCUACACUGAGUGGAUCAGCGGGUCAGGUUGCGCGAAAGUGUUUCCUAAUCUUGAAAUCCGCUCGUGAUGGGGAUUGACGGUUGCAAUUUUCUGUCAUGAACGAGGAAUACCUUGUAAGCGCGGGUCAUCAUCCCGCGCUGAAUACGUCCCUGCCCUUUGUACACACCGCCCGUCGCUCCUACCGAUUGAGUGGUCCGGUGAGGCUUUGGGAUCUGGAUGGAAAGAGCGUUUCGCCGUUUCUGCCCGGAAAACUCAGUCGAACCUUAUCAUUUAGAGGAAGGAGAAGUCGUAACA
rnacentral:rRNA from 1 species